rnacentral:tRNA from 1 species
GCGGGACUAGCUCAUCUGGUAGAGCGACAGCUUCCCAAGCUGUAGGCGACGGGUUCGAGCCCCGUGUCCCGCUCCA